AUUGAACGCUGGCGGCAUGCCUAACACAUGCAAGUCGAACGAGUGGCGGACGGGUGAGUUAUGUCUGGGAAACUGCCCGAUGGAGGGGGAUAACUACUGGAAACGGUAGCUAAUACCGCAUACCAUCGGAUGUGCCCAGAUGGGAUUAGCUAGUAGGUGGGGUAACGGCUCACCUAGGCGACGCUCCCUAGCGGGUCUGAGAGGAUGACCAGCCACACUGGACCUGAGACACGGUCCAGAAUCCUACGGGAGGCAGCAGUGGGGAAUAUUGCACAAUGUGCGCAAUCCUGAUGCAGCCAUGCCGCGUGUAUGAAGAAGGCCUUCGGGUUGUAAAGUACUUUCAGCGAGGAGGCGUUACUCGCAGAAGAAGCACCGGCUAACUCCGUGCCAGCAGCCGCGGUAAUAC
rnacentral:rRNA from 1 species